rnacentral:lncRNA from 10 species
CCGGGGUUCAUGCCAUUCUCCUGCCUCAGCCUCCCGGUAGCUAGGACUACAGGCACCCACCACCACGCACUGCUAAUAUUUUGUAUUUUUAGUAGAGACGGGGUUUCACAGUGUUAGCCAGGAUGGUCUGUAGUUUCUCUUUUUUUAUAGCUAAGUAUUACAGAAUACAGUUAUCAUCUGAGGACCAGGCUAUCAGAAAACAAGGAACCAUAUCCAGCCCUGAUGGAAGGACUGAGCAUCAUGUGGAGAUCCUGAACUCUGAUGAAGAUGUCGUGAUUGGGUGUGACUUUGAGUUGUCUUCAUAGGCUGCGGCAGCAACAAGGCGCCCUCUUGGAAGCAGAGCAACCUUCACUGGACAAUGAGCCUUCUGGUAUCUUGGACUUCUCAGCCUUCAGAACUGAAAAAAAAGUGUGUUGAACUCCAUGACACGCAUGUUAUUUAUGGAAAAUUUAAUUUCAUAAAGAAGCAAAAUAAUCUUGCUCUAUGGAAAUGGUUCAGUGAAUACUUCAUUUGACCUCUGAUAUCCUCCUGCUCAC